UUUAUAGGCUGUAGCUCCUCCUUGCUUCUCUCCUUUGUGGUUGAUCCGAAUGGUGAGAGGAUAAGGAUCGAGUAAAGCUGAAAUUUGUUGCUGCGGGAGAUCCGGACGCGGGAGAAGUUGGAGCUGAAUUUCGGAGGUGACGUGGAGAUUGGAGCUCUGUUUCGAAGCAGAGGAGGUCGUGGAGGAAGCUCACGGUUGGGAAGAUGGGAUCCGUAGCAGGGGAGUUGGAUGAUGCUGGAUACGGGAUAACGAUGGAACUGAUCGAGUUGUUGGGAUGAAGUUGAUCCAGAGGAGAGGAAUCUGAUGACGUUGGGAUUCACGGAACGAACUCUGUUUUGAGGCAAAGGUUUUAUGGGAUGCAGGAUGAGAUAAAGAUGAAUCUAUGGGAUGGAUGCUAAGCUGUUAAUCUGAAUGCUAGGAGGUUUGGGGAUCUGGCGGAAGAAGAGGAAUACGUGGGAGAAGAACAUGGGACGUUGGGAUGCUGUUCUUGGCUAAGAGAUGGUUUGGUUCGGAAGAGAUGAAGCUGGGAUUUGGAGUUUAUCCUACAGGCGAAGAGGAGGGUCUCGGUUGGUUUGGAUGAUGAUAGGAAGGCUGGGAGCUAGCGGAAUCUCUACCGAAAUGCCAGGAGGGUGGAGGCGGUUUUGAAAUACUCACGGGAUGGGGAGAUGAGUUGGGAGCUUUGGAUGUGAGCGUGGGGAGGAUGAGGAUGGGUUGGUUGAAGACGCUGGAUUUGGUGAAGUUGGGAAGUGGAGCAUUUCGUGGGAGAUUAGGUAGAUGACGAGAGGAUCUCGGCUGGGAGUUAUCCGUGGGUGGUUGUCAUCGCGAACGGGAGGAUAAGCGUGGGACCGAGAUAGAAGGAGAGCUGAGAUCCAUGUUUGGGAGUUUGAGGAUUCUGCUGAUGGCUAAAUGCGGCUGGGAUCUAGCAGAAGAAUAUGAGGCUGAAUUGCUAAGAAUGGGGAGGAUUUGAAUUGAUCUUGAAGCAGGGGAGCAAUGUGAACGUUGGGAGAUUCUAUGGGAUCAAGCCGGAAGAAGUGGGUUUUGAUUUUAUCCCACGGGCCAUGCUACUUUAUUCCAGAACAGGGGAAGAAAAAUGACGUGGAAUGAGCUUGGGAUCCGCUUGAUUUGGAAGAUGAAGAUGAGAUGAUUUAGGAGCAGGGGAUUUGAAUGAAUCAGUUGUUUCGUCCGAGCGGGAUGAGAGCGGGUUGUUUGGUAGAGAAAAGUGGAGGAGUGGAUGGAGCUUUGGGAUUCGUGCAAAUAUGAUGAUAUGCUUUGAGAUCUGAGAGAAAAAUAAUUGAAGGGAUUAAAAUAGGAGAAUUGGAUCAUGUGGAAAAAGAGUUAAGUGACUGAAUCAGAGGGUCUUGAUUUGCGGGGUGCAUGUGGUUUAGGUCCAGGAAUAAUCCCUAAUAAACUUGACUCAACCUGCAUACAUUAGACUCAAUUAAUAAAUAAUUAAAUCAAACUUGAAUUAAUUUAUUAAAAUGCAAUGAUGAGGGUAACACAUCUUUUAGUUGAAUUUACAAAAUAUAUGAAUUAAAAUAAUGAUAAGUGCUAUGAAUAAGAUAUUAAUUUAUGCAUUAUUUAGCACUUAUCAGGUA
rnacentral:lncRNA from 1 species